rnacentral:rRNA from 1 species
GUCGAGAAUCUUUCACAAUGGGGGCAACCCUGAUGGAGCGACGCCGCGUGGAGGAUAAGGUCUUCGGAUUGUAAACUCCUGUCAUGCGUGAACAAGGUUGCUUGGUUAAUACCUGGGCAAAUUGAUGGUAACGCAAGAGGAAGAGACGGCUAACUCUGUGCCAGCAGCCGCGGUAAUACAGAGGUCUCAAGCGUUGUUCGGAAUCACUGGGCGUAAAGGGUGCGUAGGUGGCGUGGUAAGUCAGAUGUGAAAGCCGGGGGCUCAACCUCGGAACGGCAUCCGAUAGUGCCAUGCUAGAGUACGGGAGAGGUGACUAGAAUUCUCGGUGUAGCAGUGAAAUGCGUAGAUAUCGAGAGGAAUACCAAAGGCGUAGGCAGGUCACUGGACAGUUACUGACACUGAGGCACGAAGGCCAGGGGAGCGAACGGGAUUAGAUACCCUGGUAGUCC